rfam:Halobacillus sp. BBL2006 cont614, whole genome shotgun sequence.
CUCUUAUCGAGAGUGGCAGAGGGACUAGGCCCUAUGACGCCCGGCAACCUUCAAGUAUCGCUUGAAAAGGUGCUAAAUCCUACAGGUCAUUUGAUCUGGCAGAUAAGAG